UGAACAUAUGUAUUUUUUGUUUUUGUUUUUAUUUAUAGCUUGUGAAACAAGUUUUCGAGAUGGAUCAUAUGAGAAGAGCAAUGUUGGAGAAAGCUUUUAAUCUCUUAGAUACUCAUAGUACUGGAUAUCUUAACAAAGAUCAAUGCAUUAAGCUCUUUGAGGAGUUGAACAAAUACAGGACUUUACCAAAGAUCACCAAGGAAGAAUUUGAGUUAAUAUUUGAUGAGCUCGAUGAUAGUCGUGAUGUAAAG